rnacentral:rRNA from 1 species
CGGACUGGUGAGUAACGCGUGAGGAACCUGCCUUUCGGAGGGGGACAACAGUUGGAAACGACUGCUAAUACCGCAUGACGUAUCGGGAUCGCAUGGUCUUGAUACCAAAGAUUUUAUCGCCGAAAGAUGGCCUCGCGUCUGAUUAGCUAGUUGGUGGGGUAACGGCCUACCAAGGCGACGAUCAGUAGCCGGACUGAGAGGUUGGCCGGCCACAUUGGGACUGAGAUACGGCCCAGACUCCUACGGAAGGCAGCAG